AGAAAAUGUGAAUGGAGAGAUUUGGUAGACCGCCAGACGGAGUGGACUUGGAGCGAGGGUCCGAGGAUCGGCUACGCUCGGAGGAGGUCGGCGGGGAACCAGUGGUCUGAACUGUGAGCUCCAACGUUGCACAUGGAUGGGAGAGUACGAGUAUCGAUGAGGAUGAAGAUGAUGAAGAUUGGAUUGAUGUUCAUCAUUCUUCAGAUGAAGAACAGCAGAAAGAGUUGGUGGAGAAGGUGAAGACCAUGCCCACAGAAGCACGCAAAGCAAAAGCAGCACUUGUCAGUGCUAGUCGCCUCCUCACACAGGAAGACUUCAAGAAAAUCCGACUGGCCCAGAUAGCUAAAGAGGUUGACCCUGCCCCUGGCAAAAGUCAGAAGAGGAAGAUUGAGGACAGCAGUGAUGACGAAAGCAAAGGAGAGCUGCUUUCACUGCGAGAUAUAGAACGGCUGCAUAAAAAGCCUAAAUCAGAUAAAGAAACUCGACUAGCAACAGCUAUGUUUUACAGCUUACUGACAACGGACAGAACACUCUAACAGCAGUCAAUGGCAACGAUCUCUAUUUCUCCUUGGCCUUUUCUCCUUGGAGCAACGGAGGAUGAGAGGUGACCUGAUAAAGAAACUAUGAAGAUCCAUUGCUACUGCAGACUCACCUUCUGUUUCUUUCGACGGUUUGCUUUGCGGGAUGCUCUCUUGAAGAGAAAGAAACAGUUGAAAUAAGGAAGUAAUAACAAAACACAAUAGAAACCAAAUAUUGCAACCAAGAAGAUAUGUGACUCCUGCAUUACAGAGCGUUUGCAUUCUCAGGAAGUGGCCCGAAGUCUGAAGCUGCAUAUGCAUAUGCGUCAAGAAACAGGAGUUGGGAAAAAUUAUUUAUAUAUAUUUUUCACAAAUUCUGUAAGAGUUCUUUGAAUUCUGUAUAAAUGAAUUUUUGUUACUCAAGUGGCUGUAAUGUGGGGAUUGUUUAUAUUAUUGUUAAUAGUUUAUACAG